CCUACGGGAGGCAGCAGUGAGGAAUAUUGGUCAAUGGCCGGGAGGCUGAACCAGCCAAGUCGCGUGAGGGAAGACGGCCCUACGGGUUGUAAACCUCUUUUGACAGGGAGCAAGGUGCAGUUCGGGACCUGCUGUGCGCGUACCUGAAGAAAAAGCAUCGGCUAACUCCGUGCCAGCAGCCGCCGUAAUACGGAGGAUGCGAGCGUUAUCCGUAUUUAUUGGGUUUAAAGGGUGCGCAGUCGGAGGAACAAGUCAGCGGUAAAAUCGCGGGGCUCAACCCCGCUCCGCCGUUGAAACUGUGGCCCUUGAGUGCGCGAAGGGUAGGCGGAAUGCGUGGUGUAGCGGUGAAAUGCAUAGAUAUCACGCAGAACUCCGAUCGCGAAGGCAGCCUACCGGCGCGCAACUGACGCUCAUGCACGAAAGCGUGGGUAUCGAACAGGAUUAGAUACCCCUGUAGUC
rnacentral:rRNA from 1 species